AUUUUGACAUUUGUGCCCCCCGGCUGCCGGGGGAAAAUAGAUUUUACCUUUUAUUUUUAUGCAGUGAUCUGAAACUGAUGAUCUGGAACUUCUGAGUUCAAAGCAUUUCUCAUUGUAUUAAUCCAGCAUAUUCAGUUAAAGUUCUCAAUUUAGCAAACAAAUGCAAGGCAACAUCGCAGGAAAGCCCAUGUUUCUGAAGUAUAUCCGUAUCCGACGCCAUUAUGAAUGUUGGAUUUCUCAUUUCUCCGAGAAUGUUGUUCAGGACUUCAGAUCUAUUGACACUUCCAUAUCUUGAUCAAUGAACACAUUUUGCAAUUUGUCUGCAACUGUGCUUUAACCUCCAUAGGAGCUGUGAACAUAAAAAAUCAAUUAAAAUUUCUUGUUAUGCAAUUUCAAAACUGAUUUCACAAACAUUUUAAUGCUUAUCCUACUGUUGAGUACUUGUUAAUAUUUUAAAGGUGUUGUACAUUCAAGUCAACCUUAAGGCAGACACCAGACAGGUGGCCAUUUUAAGAUUUUGCUUUGCUUGUCUGCUGUUUCAUUACCUGCUAAUAAUGGUAUAAAAUUCUAGCACUUCUUAAUGUAUGUUGAAACAUAUUUGUGGGAAGUCUGAUUUUGAUAUGUCAAAGUACUUCACUAAUUUGCUUGCUAAUCUGCAAAAUGUGUUCAAUUGAUCCCCAUAGGAACUGUGAACAUUCAAAAUUUAAUUAAAAUUUCUUGUUCUGUAAUUUUAAGACUGAUUUCACAAAUGUAGAAAAUGAAUGGGAAAAAUUGAAUUAUCCAGUAACAUGUUUUGCUGACAAACUUUGUUUAGCAUAGCAGCUCAUAAGUUUUGUUUUUAAUUAUCAUUUGGAACAAUUAAACAAAUGGUACUUUUAAUUUUCAGGUCAUGGAAAUUGGUAGACAAAAGAUGAAAUAUGAAAUGGUCUGAAGCUGAACAUGGUUAAGGUAAGCAUGCUACGCAAACUGGAGGUGCGAAAGGCAGUGGAACGGUGCUCGGAAGGUGACGGAGGACAGGAUGACUGUGAAAUUGUACAGUACGAUGAGUAACCAGUUUACGGGAAGGUUUAGGUAUCCGAAAUGCAUUAUCUGCUAAUUGUUUGAUUCGCUAAAAUUGUCUCCUUGCAUAUUUUGAUUUGAAUCGUAAUGUAGAAAGUUGACAAAUGUUCGUGAUGCAAUUCGUUUCAGAGUUGCAUCGUUUGGGUUCAGGAAGGUAAAGUUCCUUUUAUAGAACCGCUCAGGCCCCUGAAUGUGAAAGGUGUUGACACCAUCCCAAUGUUUACACAAGCUUGUAGUUCUAACUUGUAGUUCUUAUUUCGCUUUGGUUAAAGCUCUUUUUGUCCAAACAAAAUCUAUCUUGUUAGUAUUUCAAUUUCUCGUAUGUGCGAGUUCUUAAUUGCGUAAAACACUUCGGGUCUACACUGCUUUUUGAGAAAUGUAGUAACUUCUGAUUUUCACCCAUCAUCCGGGUUUUCUUUCUUUUAUGCAGAUUUUUCCCUAUCGCGUAGCUCCGAUCCAUUAUGCGCUAAGUUGGCGUUAAUCUUACUUGUUUUAGAGGAAAUGGCAUGCAGAAUGUUGCGGAGGAAUUUGACCAAAAGGAUGCAUAAGAUAGUAUAGAAUCUUCACUCUCACGGAGAAACAGCGAAUUAAUUGCGUUGAUGAAUUAACGAUUUGCCAUGACUGCUAAUUAACGAAAGAAUUGUUUGCAGAUGAUAGUAAAUUACUGAUGAAGCUUCACGAUUCUCAACUACUCAACACAUGCUGCGAUGGAAGACCACACUGAGGGAAGAAAGAGCUCUCCAUCAGUGAGAGGAGAUGAUUUGGACUUGGUGGAAUACCUGAAGUCUUCAGCAGUCGCGCCGGCAUCUGUGUUUCUGCUUUCGUUCCAGCACAUUUCUAUGUCGGUAGCAUGUUGGGCGUAACAAUGGAAAAUCAAGUAUGCUGAUCUGAAGAAAACAAACAAAAGCGAGGUCGCAGAUUUCAUUUGGUAGGAGCUUGGUAUUCAGCGGUGUUUACUUAGAGUAAAAUACACGACUUUGCUAGAGAG